rnacentral:rRNA from 1 species
UAAUACGUAGGGGGCAAGCGUUGUCCGGAAUUAUUGGGCGUAAAGCGCGCGCAGGCGGUCCUUUAAGUCUGAUGUGAAAGCCCACGGCUUAACCGUGGAGGGUCAUUGGAAACUGGAGGACUUGAGUACAGAAGAGGAGAGUGGAAUUCCACGUGUAGCGGUGAAAUGCGUAGAGAUGUGGAGGAACACCAGUGGCGAAGGCGACUCUCUGGUCUGUAACUGACGCUGAGGUGCGAAAGCGUGGGUAGCGAACAGG